rnacentral:rRNA from 1 species
GAUGAACGCUAGCGGCAGGCCUAACACAUGCAAGUCGAGGGGCAGCACGGUGUAGCAAUACACUGGUGGCGACCGGCGCACGGGUGCGUAACGCGUAUGCAACCUACCCAUAACAGGGGGAUAACACUGAGAAAUUGGUACUAAUACCCCAUAACAUCAGGACCGGCAUCGGUUCUGGUUGAAAACUCCGGUGGUUAUGGAUGGGCAUGCGUUGUAUUAGCUGGUUGGUGAGGUAACGGCUCACCAAGGCAACGAUACAUAGGGGGACUGAGAGGUUAACCCCCCACAUUGGUACUGAGACACGGACCAAACUCCUACGGGAGGCAGCAGUGAGGAAUAUUGGUCAAUGGACGCAAGUCUGAACCAGCCAUGCCGCGUGCAGGAAGACGGCUCUAUGAGUUGUAAACUGCUUUUGUACGAGAGUAAACGCUCUUACGUGUAAGAGCCUGAAAGUAUCGUACGAAUAAGGAUCGGCUAACUCCGUGCCAGCAGCCGCGGUAAUACGGAGGAUCCAAGCGUUAUCCGGAUUUAUUGGGUUUAAAGGGUGCGUAGGCGGUUUGAUAAGUUAGAGGUGAAAUACCGGUGCUUAACACCGGAACUGCCUCUAAUACUGUUGAACUAGAGAGUAGUUGCGGUAGGCGGAAUGUAUGGUGUAGCGGUGAAAUGCUUAGAGAUCAUACAGAACACCGAUUGCGAAGGCAGCUUACCAAACUAUAUCUGACGUUGAGGCAAGAAAGCGUGGGGAGCAAACAGGAUUAGAUA